rnacentral:rRNA from 1 species
GAUGAACGCUGGCGGCGUGCUUAACACAUGCAAGUCGAACGAUGAAGCCCAGCUUGCUGGGUGGAUUAGUGGCGAACGGGUGAGUAACACGUGAGUAACCUGCCCUUAACUCUGGGAUAAGCCUGGGAAACUGGGUCUAAUACCGGAUAGGAGCGUCCACCGCAUGGUGGGUGUUGGAAAGAUUUAUCGGUUUUGGAUGGACUCGCGGCCUAUCAGCUUGUUGGUGAGGUAAUGGCUCACCAAGGCGACGAUGGGUAGCCGGCCUGGAAGGGUGACCGGCCACCUGGGAGCGGAGCCACGGUCAAGACUACUGCGGGAGGCAGCAGACGGGAAUGUGAGGCAAUAGGCGAAAGUCUGACACAGCGAGGUCGAGUGUGUUGAGAAGGUCUUGGGAGAGGAAUGCACGCUUAGUGGUGAUGAACCUCUGUCAGUAGAGAAGUAGCGGUAGUGACGGUACCUAGAGAAGAAGCACCGGCUAACUACGUG